GCUUCUGUAGCUUAGUCGGUAGAGCACUACCUUGGUAAGGUAGAGGUCGGGAGUUCAAGACUCCCCAGAAGCU
rnacentral:tRNA from 1 species